CCUACGUGUGGCAGCAGUGAGGAAUAUUGGUCAAUGGACGAGAGUCUGAACCAGCCAAGUAGCGUGAAGGAUGACUGCCCUAUGGGUUGUAAACUUCUUUUAUAAAGGAAUAAAACGAGGCACGUGUGCCUUUUUGCAUGUACUUUAUGAACAAGGACCGGCUAACUCCGUGCCAGCAGCCGCGUUACUCCGGAGGAUCCGAGCGUUAUCCGGAUUUAGUGGGUUUAAAGGGAGCGUAGAUGGUUGGGUAAGUCAGUUGUGAAAUGUUGCGGCGCAACCGUAAAAUUGCAAUUGAUAAUGGCAGUCUUGAGUACAGUUGAGGUAGGCGGAAUUCGUGGUGUAGCGGUGAAAUGCUUAGAUAUCGCGAAGAACCCCGAUUGCGAAGGCAGCUUACUAAACUGUGACUGACAUUGAUGCUCGAAAGUGUGGGUAUCAAACAGGAUUAGAUACCCCGGUAGUC
rnacentral:rRNA from 1 species